rnacentral:rRNA from 1 species
AAAUUGAAGAGUUUGAUCAUGGCUCAGAUUGAACGCUGGCGGCAGGCCUAACACAUGCAAGUCGAACGGUAACAGGAAGCAGCUUGCUGCUUUGUUGACGAGUGGCGGACGGGUGAGUAAUGUCUGGGAAACUGCCUGAUGGAGGGGGAUAACUACUGGAAACGGUGGCUAAUACCGCAUAACGUCGCAAGACCAAAGAGGGGGA